rnacentral:rRNA from 1 species
UUAGUCAUGCGAGUCGAGCGAGAAAGUCCUCUUCGGAGGGUGAGUACAGCGGCAAACGGGUGAGUAACGCGUGGGUAAUCUACCUUUGAGUUGGGGAUAACACUCCUAACGGAGUGCUAAUACCGAAUGUGAGGCCGAGAUCUUGGUUUCGGCCUGAAAGAUGGCCUCUGCUUGCAUGCUGUCGCUUAAAGAUGAGCCCGCGUCCUAUUAGCUUGUUGGUGGGGUAAUGGCCUACCAAGGCAACGAUGGGUAGCCGGCCUGAGAGGGUGAACGGCCACACUGGCACUGAGACAAGGGCCAGUCCCCUACGGGGGCCAGCAGUCUAGAAAUUUGCACAAUCGCCGAAAGGCGGAUGCAGCGACGCCACGUGGAGGAUGAAGCCUUUCGGGGUGUAAACUCCUGUCAGAUGGGAAGAAGGCGCGGGUGUUAAUACCAUCCGUUGCUUGACGGUACCAUCAGAGGAAGCUCCGGCUAACUGCGUGCCAGCAGCCGCGGUAAUACGUGGGGAGCAAGCGUUGUUCGGAUUUACUGGGCGUAAAGAGCUCGUAGGCGGAUGUGUAAGUCGGAUGUGAAAUCCUCUGGCUCAACCAGAGAACUGCACCCGAAACUGCAUAUCUUGAGUUCAGCAGAGGGAAUCGGAAUCUAGGGUGUAGCGGUGAAAUGCGUAGAGAUCCUAGAGAACACCAGUGGCGAAGGCGGAUUCCUGGGCUGGCACUGACGCUGAGGAGCGAAAGCUGGGGGAGCAAACAGGAUUAGAUACCCUGGUAGUCCCAGCCGUAAACGAUGGGUACUAGGUGUUGGGGGAUGUUGACCCCUUCAGUGCCGAAGCUAACGCAUUAAGUACCCCGCCUGGGGAGUACGGUCGCAGCAAGGCCUGAAACCUUCAAA